rnacentral:rRNA from 1 species
ACGGAAGGCAGCAGCUAAGAAUAUUCCGCAAUGGACGAAAGUCGGACGGAGCGACGCCGCGUGGAUGAUGAAGGCCGGAAGGUUGUAAAAUCCUUUUAUAACUGAGGAAUAAGCAGGGUGAGAGAAACGCCUUGUGGUGACUGUAGGUUAUGAAUAAGCAACGGCUAAUUACGUGCCAGCAGCCGCGGUAACACGUAAGUUGCGAGCGUUGUUUGGAAUUAUUGGGCGUAAAGGGCAUGUAGGCGGUUUUGCAAGCUUGAUGUGAAAGGCAGGAGCUUAACUCCUGGACUGCGUUGAGAACUGCAUGACUAGAGUCACUGAGGGGCAAUCAGAAUUCCUGGUGUAGGGGUGAAAUCUGUAGAUAUCAGGAAGAAUACCAAUGGCGAAGGCAGGUUACCAGCAGAUGACUGACGCUGAGGUGCGAAGGUGCGGGGAGCAAACAGGAUUAGAUACCCUGGUA